CUAUGCGCCUUGCCAGCCCGCUCAGUCAGAGUUUGAUCCUGGCUCAGAUUGAACGCUGGCGGCAGGCUUAACACAUGCAAGUCGAACGGUAACAUGAGUGCUUGCACUUGAUGACGAGUGGCGGACGGGUGAGUAAGGUAUGGGGAUCUGCCGAAUGGAGAGGGACAACAGUUGGAAACGACUGCUAAUACCUCAUAAAGUUGAGAGACCAAAGCGUGGGACCUUCGGGCCACGUGCCAUUUGAUGAACCCCAUAUGGGAUUAGCUAGUUGGUGGGGUAAUAGCUCACCAAGGCGACGAUCUCUAGCUGGUCUGAGAGGAUGACCAGCCACACUGGAACUGAGACACGGUCCAG
rnacentral:rRNA from 1 species